UACGUAGGGCGCAAGCGUUAUCCGGAAUUAUUGGGCGUAAAGAGCUCGUAGGCGGUUUGUUGCGUCGGCUGUGAAAUCCCGAGGCUCAACCUCGGGUCUGCAGUCGAUACGAGCAAACUGGAGUGUUGCAGGGGAGACUGGAAUUCCUGGUGUAGCGGUGAAAUGCGCAGAUAUCAGGAGGAACACCGGUGGCGAAGGCGGGUCUCUGGGCAACAACUGACGCUGAGGAGCGAAAGCGUGGGGAGCGAACAGG
rnacentral:rRNA from 1 species